AACUCUUCAUUUAUCUAAAUGAAUAUUCAUUUCUUGAAGAUUUUUAAAGCGUUGGACUAAAAUUUAGCUAGUUUCUCCAAAAUUCAGCUUUGGGUGGAAGUAAUGACAAAUGAAAUCAGGUUGACUCAUCUUUCAUAAUGCUUUUCCAUCUGUCCUUUUGCUUUAGACCUGACUGCCUAUAGCUGGGGCUCAUACCUGGAUGCCUGCAAUCCUGAGAUAAACUUGGCAGUCAUUAGCACAUGGUUUUUGAAGACAGCGACACAGAUGGAACAUUUAAGGUGGAAAUAUGACGUGAGGAGAGAAGCUGACCCAGAAAUGAACCCCAACGAUUGCCAACAUUUCAGCCAGAGAAGAGGAUGGUAACAAAGGAGACCUGUGAAGGAGUAGCCAAAAAGUGAAAAUACGUUAAAGAAAGAAGCAUGAAGGGAAGAGGAACAAGUCGCUCCCUUCCCUCCAGCUUUGUGGUGCGCAUCUAGCACCCCUAUCGGCAGUCUUGCAAGGAGAUAACUGCCAGGCAGAAAUGUGGUUUGCAGAGUCCCAGCUCCAGCGAGGCGAAGCAGAGCACAGAAGGGGUUCACACCACAAACCGCAUGCUAAAUGAGGCUAUAAUCAAAAUGAAGAUCCAGACAAUGAGUAGGAAAGUAUGCUCUAAAAAGAUACAAUAUUCUUUCCAGACUUAUGAAGACGCUGAAAGUUAAAAGUUAAGAAUCUUUCCCAAAAGUACAGACCUAAAAGGAUGACAGAAUUAUAGGACCCCCAACCCGCUGACCCUUCAUCCAUAAUAAUUUUCACUGCAUAAUGUCACCUUUCUAAUAUCAGUAACAAACAAAUUUAGGGAUCUCCUAAAGCAUGCUAGAUACAAGUUAGAAUUAUUCCUUAAGAUAAGGCAAGAGCUUCAUUGGGUGCUGCCAUGACAUCAGCCAUUUCCAUUUCCGGUUGACAUUGCACCAAUGGGCUAAAGAAGGCCUGUUACGUAGUCAAGGACAGCUCUUGCUGUCCGCAGAACCACAUGCUUAACUCCGGCUGAAUUAACAAACAUUGACUUAUAAAAGGUACAUUAUCAAAUGCCAUUUUCAGAAUGCACAGGGAGUAGGAGAACUUUUAAUUCAUUUAACAAAACCAGAUUCUAGAGUACAAGGUACAUGGGAAGUGCUAAAUUAAUAACAUGAAAAGGACAUAGUCCCUAUUACCAAAAGAUUCACAUUCUUUGAAUCUUUUGGAUCUGAGCCUGGGUGGCUCUGUCAGGAAAGCAUCUGACUCUUGAUUUCAGCUCAGGUCAUGAUCUCAUGGUUUGUGGGACAGAGCCCCACAUUGGGCUCUGUGCUCACAGCACAGAGCCUGCUUGGGAUUCUCUCUCUCCCUGUCUCUCUGCCCCUCUCCCACUCGCUCUCACUCUUUCUCUCUCUCAAAAUAAAUACACUUAAAAAAAAGACUCAUUCUAAUUGAGCCAUCACAUCAGAUAAAUGAGAUCUGUGAAGUGUCAAAUGUUAUAUCAAUGUGGACACAUGAAAUGGAGACAGAGAACACAAGAAAUCUGUGUCAUCCUCACACAGCGACUAACUUAUUUCUCAUUUUUUCCAGCUGUAAUACACACCAAAAUCCAUGUUUACCCCCAUAAUUAGACACCACAGAACAACUCCUCAAAUUAUUAGGAACAUUUUCCUUUAGUUUGAUUACAGCUAAUAUAACUUAGAAGACAAGUAGCAGACUUUCAAAGGUAAACUAAGGUUCACAUGCAAAUCUUGAAAUGAGUUUGGGUGAACUACUUAAAAUAGCGUUGCCCUCCAUGAAUAAGGCUUUUCCCAUAGUAUUUAGUGGCACAAAAUUUACAGCAGCCAGGUCAGCAUUUUGUGUGUGGGGGAGAGAGAAGAAUCAAUGAAGGUUUCUAAGGCCUGGCAAAAUGCAGUGACAUGACAGGUUACGUGUGAAAAGAGGCUCAGACAAAAAAAUAAAUAAAUAAUGAUAAAUAAUGGAGAAAAUGGGAACAAGUGACCUCUCAGGAAAACCCACUUUAUCUUACGUACUAUUUUUUUCUUCUAUAAGCUGGAGAAAAUGGAUUGUGAGAAAAAAAUUUUAAAUAAAUAAAUACAUACACACACACACACACACACACACAACAGUCAGAGAAAUUAACAAUCAUUUGUUAGGUAAAUCUCUAAGCCCCAUCAAAUCAAUAUUCUCAGUAUAUAAUAAAAAUUACGACAGACUUCAAUGCUUCUGGGUCUCUCUCCUCUCUCUCCCUCCCUCUUUCUCAUAGUUCACUUAAAAUUUUUUUUAACGUUUAUUCAUUUUUGAGAGACAGAGAGAAACAGAGUAUGAGCAGGGAAGGAGCAGAGAGAGAGGGAGACACAGAAUCUGAAACAGGCUCCAGGCUCUGAGCUGUCAGCACGGAGCCUGACGCGGGGCUCAAACUCAGGCACUGCGAGAUCAUGACCUGAGCCGAAGUCGGAUGCUCAACAGACUGAACCACGCAGGCGCCCCUCUCAUAGUUCACUUAAAGUGAACCAUUUUCAGAGUACACAGCAGCUUGAAGGCAGAAAAUUCUGCAUUGUGAGAUGCCAGAGUAACAUCAGGAAUAAGCCUUUGCCCAUUUUAUGCCAGCAUAUCAGACCUGAACCUCUGUUUUCCAAGAAUCAGAAACAGGACUAUUUGCAGCAGCUUACCUCUGAGCCAGAAGGACACUAACAGAUUCUAAAGAAGAGAGACAACCCAAAAAUUUAAGAUCUGUUGAUGAGUGAAUGUGCACACACCCUCUAUCACAUAAAAUUUCCAAGUCUGUCCCCAACAAGGAACCUUGAAACCGCUGCUAAUCUCGAGAUAUUCACCAACACAUCAGGUUGAAUCCUUGACAAUUGCCUUCUUCAUUUCUGCUUUCAAUAAGCUCUUAAAUGAUUUGUUUAUCACUUGGGCCAUUUGGUGAUAAAUGGAGUUUAUUUAGUGUGUCCUCUAAUUAAUUAGUUUGCUUUCUGUGCUAUUAAUGGAGGCACAAGGAUACCCAUUAGCCCUUGGGAAGUGCUCUUGCACACAGCCUUUGAAAAAGGAAUGUUUCACAGCCUAUAAGGUUCUGACUCUUGGUAAUGCUGUUUGGGCUGCAAGAGGAAUUGGAGGAUUUUCCCAGGCAGUCGGGUUUUCCUUUAGCCCAAAAGGAAAAAUAAGUAUCCACAGGAUUGUGGUUCUUUUGAAGUGGCUGUAGUUUCACUGCAAUUUCCAUCCAAAGCAACAUGCGUUUUGUCAGGCUGAGGUUCAGCCAUUAGGUUGCUAAUUAAGUUAACAAGUGCUGUGUGCUGCUUAAUUUGGCAACAAGCUAUCCUACAGACUGUUCAAUAAGAAAAGCAGCAUUUCCAUAAUGAUUCUGUUUUUUAGCUUGGAAUUAAGCUAAAAACUCUAAUGAUCCCUAUGAAGGGACAUCUGAUGCACGUGUUCAAAAUGCAGAAAAGGAGAAUACACUGUUUUCCUUGUUGGACACUCACACCUUUUAUUUACACAUUUACUGCACAGUGUGGCUGAAAUAGGGGUAAUUGCCUGUGUACAUUUUUAAUUCAUCAUAAUUCAAAUAAAAUGUGUUUCUCUGCCCAACUUCCUUCUUACAGCUGUCAUUUUGCCCAACUGCAAAUUGACUUUCAGUAAUGGGUUCCAUUGCAGUGAGCUAAUUGUGGGUGUGAUUUAUUCUCUUGUUAUCCUUGGUUGAUGUGCCUCUCCUUCAGUUGUAGGGGUUAAAAAUGAGAUUCACUGGUUCAUUUAUUCAGUAGAUAUUUCCUGAGCAUCUAUUGUGUGUCAGAUAUUGCACUAGGCUCUGGGGACUCAGAGGAAAAAACGCACCUGGAGUGUCAUCUUGAUAGAGGUUCCAAAAGAAUCACCAUGUAUUUAUUCCAUCUAAGAAAACAUACCUUCAGGAGGACUAUUCCUGGACUAAGAUCUUGGAGACCAGCAUGUGCUGUAUAAAAAUACCUAAACUCAGUCACUAACCAAGGAAAGAAAAGGAAAUAAGUGAGUUGUUUAAUCUCUCUGGGCCUCAUUAGUUCAUUUAUAAAGUGGAAGGGAAUGGCUUACUUGUUAAAGUCCCUUUCAGCAGAUUUCUUGAAUAAUCCAUAUUCUCUCAUGACCUGUACUCAACUAAAUGCUAUUUCCUCAACCUAGAGUUCCUUUCUCCUUCCCUCUUCUAGUUCUGCAUAUUAAAAGACUACUCAGUCAAGUCUGUGGUCUACUUAAUUGUGUUGUAUCAAUACCAAUUUUCUAGUUUUGAUGAAUGUACUGGUUCUGUAACAUGGUACCAUUAAGAGAAGCUGGGCAGGGAGUACAUUGGAUCUCUCCAUGCUAUUUUGGCAACUUCUUAUAAGUCUGUAAUUAUUUAAAAUAAAACAUUUUUUUAAUACCCCCAUAUUCAUAACCUAUCUCGAAAACAAAAUUAAAACUGAAAUCAAUCUCUUCUUCCCUUAUCUCUAUUAUAACAUCUUGACUGCCUUAUAGUUACUAACGAAUCCACCUGCCUCUUUUGAUUCUUAACUCUGAGAGACAGAACUACAUCAGAUCUAUCUUUGCCUC